rnacentral:rRNA from 1 species
UACGGGGGGGGCAAGCGUUGUUCGGAAUUACUGGGCGUAAAGGGCUCGUAGGCGGCCAACUAAGUCGGAUGUGAAAUCCCCAGGCUUAACCUGGGAACUGCAUCCGAUACUGGAUGGCUUGAAUUCGGGAGAGGGAUGCAGAAUCCCAGGUGUAGCGGUGAAAUGCGUAGAUAUCUGGAGGAAUACCGGUGGCGAAGGCGGCAUCCUGGACCGGCAUUGACGCUGAGGCGCGAAAGCUAGGGGAGCAAACGGG